rnacentral:rRNA from 1 species
UACGAAGGGGGCUAGCGUUGCUCGGAAUCACUGGGCGUAAAGCGCACGUAGGCGGAUUGUUAAGUCAGGGGUGAAAUCCUGGAGCUCAACUCAAGAACUGCCUUUGAUACUGGCGAUCUCGAGUCCGGGAGAGGUGAGUGGAACUGCGAGUGUAGAGGUGAAAUUCGUAGAUAUUCGCAAGAACACCAGUGGCGAAGGCGGCUCACUGGCCCGGUACUGACGCUGAGGUGCGAAAGCGUGGGGAGCAAACAGG